AUACUCUGGUUUCUCUUCAAGUUGUAAAAAUCUUUUGCCUUUUACUGAAGAUAUCUGUGGAGAGAAACAAUUCUGAGCCUAUAUCCAAUUUUUUGAGGCUCUGUAUCAAUAGGGCU